rnacentral:hammerhead_ribozyme from 1 species
AUCCAACUGAUGUGUCUCAAAUAGAACGAAAUGUGCGUCAAACCGGAU